GCAGGUGUUUUUUCAGACUCUGAGAAUGCGGAAACCAGUCUGGCGGCUGCUUUCUGCCAGCAGCAAUACCCCAUGAAAAUUAGGGAACCAUGAUGGGUUUUCCUGCUUCAAAUCUAAAUAAAUCAUUUAGAUUUCAAUUUAUUGAAGUGCUUUUGUGCAUGGUUGUUAUGAUAAAUAUUUUAAAAAUAAAAAUUAUUUUAACAUUAAUUUGAUGGUAAUUUUUGAUUUUUUAUUUUUUUGUCAAAACAAUUUCUCUG
rnacentral:lncRNA from 1 species